UCAAACUACCCAUAGAAAACGAAAAUCCAGUAAUACAAGUCAAAUUGAAAUGGCUAGCGCCGGUGGUGAUGGUGGUGGUGGUGGUGGUGGUGGUGGUGGUGGAGGAGGAAAGGUCUCCUUCAAAGUGACGCUUACCUCCGAUCCAAAGCUUCCUUUCAAAGUGUUUAGCGUACCAGAGGCUGCCCCAUUUACUGCUGUUUUGAAAUUCGCAGCUGAGGAAUUCAAAGUUCCACCCCAAACUAGCGCUAUCAUCACUAACGAUGGAGUGGGAAUCAAUCCUCAACAAAGUGCAGGUGUUUUGUUAGAAGCAUUAAAAAGGAGUGGUACUAAAUGGGAAGGAGCCAUAAAAAUCACAGGUGUCCAAUAGAGGUUUCAAAAAAGGUGUUGUACUCAGUACAUUAGUCUCUUUUUGGGCCCAAAAGUUCCUUACCUACAUUAUGAUGAGUUGUGGGUGGCAUAAAUUUAUCAGUCCAAAGGGCAUCUCUUCCAAAUGAGAACGCACCUUCCUAUAAUGAUGAAUACAAUUUUCUCUUUGCUCCCGGAUCUCUCUCCAGGGGAUUUCAUCGCAAUCUCAAACUGGUUGAUUUAAUUUCGAUUCAGAUGCAAUAACUUUUAAUUGGCUCUCGUAUGACUCCUUUGAUUUCGAUUGAUUAAGAUUUUAAUUGUAACUUUUCCUCCUAUCCCAUUUUUCAUCAAAUUGGACCGAAUCAACGGUCGAUUUGCAGCUUAAUUGAUUGAUUCAACUCAUCGAUUCAGUUUGCCAAUAAGUCGGUCAAGGAGGGGGGUAUCCUAAUGAAGGAGGGUAGGCCCACAAUGAUGAGCACUAUUAUGUCGUAUUUGUGGGUUGAUGUAAAGUGGUGGGUAGAGUGGAGUUAGGACAAAAGCAUAUAGAAAUGGCAUCUAAUAUAUAUAUAUGUAGGGUCCAAAAUUGAAUAUUUGAAUCUCAGAUCAGUGGCCCUAUCACUUUCACUGUCUCAAAAACAAUCUACCAAUAAGACCAAAAA